GACGUCGAUAUUCGACGUCAUAAACACGAUCAACUUUGGUGUGUAUGACGUCGAUAUUCGACGUCAUAAACACGAUCAACUUUGGUGUUUAUGACGUCGAUAUUCGACGUC
rnacentral:miRNA from 1 species